rnacentral:rRNA from 1 species
AUGUUGAGUAGAGAAACUCUGCUCUGGACUAAUUUCCUGAACAAAUAUCCUGCUCCACUCUCAAGAUCUCCGAUACUGCACUCUAACUCCGACAAUUGUUCCUCCUUACAAACAACCGCCUUCUUCUUGUGGAAUGCCUUGGAAACAAGAGACUGUUUAGGCAUUUCGAUUUGCUUCGACACAAGAUGGAGUGUGGACUCCAGGAGAGACGCAGAGACCUCCCUGGCCUUGGCCAAUAGCAUGACCAUCCUGCAAUCUGCAGGAGCCUUCUUCGUGGCCUUCUUGAAAUGGUUCCUGGCCUUCUUCGCCAAGUGGGUGUAA